rnacentral:rRNA from 1 species
UGGGGAAUAUUGCACAAUGGGCGCAAGCCUGAUGCAGCCAUGCCGCGUGUGUGAAGAAGGCCUUCGGGUUGUAAAGCACUUUCUAGCGAGGAGGAAGGUGGUGAGCUUAAUACGCUCAUCAAUUGACGUUACUCGCAGAAGAAGCACCGGCUAACUCCGUACCAGCAGCCGCGGUAAUACGGAGGGUGCAAGCGUUAAUCGGAAUUACUGGGCGUAAAGCGCACGCAGGCGGUUUGUUAAGUCAGAUGUGAAAUCCCCCGGGCUCAACCUGGGAACUGCAUUUGAAACUGGCAAGCUAGAGUCUCGUAGAGGGGGGUAGAAUUCCAGGUGUAGCGGUGAAAUGCGUAGAGAUCUGGAGGAAUACCGGUGGCGAAGGCGGCCCCC